UACGAAGGGGGCUAGCGUUGCUCGGAAUCACUGGGCGUAAAGCGCACGUAGGCGGCUUCUUAAGUCAGGGGUGAAAUCCUGGAGCUCAACUCCAGAACUGCCUUUGAUACUGAGGAGCUUGAGUCCGGGAGAGGUGAGUGGAACUGCGAGUGUAGAGGUGAAAUUCGUAGAUAUUCGCAAGAACACCAGUGGCGAAGGCGGCUCACUGGCCCGGUACUGACGCUGAGUGAGCGAAAGCCAGGGGAGCAAACGGG
rnacentral:rRNA from 1 species